UACGAAGGGGACUAGCGUUGUUCGGAAUCACUGGGCGUAAAGCGCGCGUAGGCGGAUUCGUAAGUCAGGGGUGAAAUCCCGGGGCUCAACCUCGGAACUGCCUUUGAUACUGCGGGUCUUGAGUCCGAUAGAGGUGAGUGGAAUUCCUAGUGUAGAGGUGAAAUUCGUAGAUAUUAGGAAGAACACCAGUGGCGAAGGCGGCCCACUGGAUGGGUACUGGCGCUGAGGUGCGAAAGCGUGGGGAGCAAACAGG
rnacentral:rRNA from 1 species